rnacentral:lncRNA from 1 species
CGCAUUUUUGAAUCUUUUAAGGCCUAUUCGAGUUGAAGUAACCAGUUAAUAAGUACUCUGGAAUUAAUCACAGCACCACCAGCUGGUUGCCCUUGAUUAAUGGUAGAUAUAUCUAGGAGUUCCCGCUGUGGCGCAGUGGUUAACGAAUCCGACUAGGAACCAUGAGAUUGCGGGUUCGAUCCCUGGCCUUGCUCAGUGGGUUAAGGAUCCAGCACUGCCGUGAGCUAUGGUGUAGGUUGCAGACACGGCUUGGAUCCCGCGUUGCUGUGGCUCAGGCGUAGGCCGGUGGCUACAGCUCCAAUUCGACCCCUAGCCUGGGAACCUCCAUAUGCAAUGGGAACAGCCCAAUAAAUGGCAAAAAGACCAAAAAAAAAAAAGAAAAAAAGUAGAUAUAUCUAGGAUCAUAAAGAAAUAAUGAUGAGCUCUUAUGCAAUUUUUCUAAACUCUCUUAGUUAACCCAUGAGUUUAAUUUUGAAAGAAAAAAAAAAAAGUUGUUGAAACCUGAGGUUGUUUCCAAGCAAGAUGGGAACAAACAAAAAACCACAGAGAAUUAUCUCCAGUAUAGGGACAUUUCUUGGGUAAUUUAAGGUUAUGAUGCAAAUGGUCUAUGUUUUCCUUUUCUGCAUUAAAAAACUCAUGUUCAUUCUCCUCUUGGAUUGCAACCAUAUCUUUGAGAAAUGAAAGGCGAAUGAAAAUAAAUUUUAUUUAACAAGUCUGCAUCAACAUUUAUGACAUGUGAGUUUUUGGUUUGGAGAAGAGUACCAAACUGCCAAAAGGAUUAAAAAUUGUAUAUAAAAGGAAUUUUUUUUUUGCCAGUAGCUUCUAAAUUGAAUAAACUGAAAAUUUUUCAUACCCAGGAUCUAAGGAAUCUGAUUUAGUUUUUUAAUUGAGAAUAUUUACCUUCAAAAGUUGAAAAACAAACAUCAAAGCAAUGGGAAAGAGGUGGGUCAGUCAAUAAAUAGACUUAAGGCAACUGAAUUCCAUUUGGAAAAAAUACAAAUUUAAAUCCAUACUUCACAAUUAAUACCAAAAUUAAUUCUAUGUGGAUUAAACCUUUAAACAUAAUAUAUGAGAUUACCAAAACAAUGUGGGAGUUUUUGGUUCUGUUUGGUUUGCUUUCUUCAUAAUCUCAGAGCAGAAAAGGCCUCUCAAAGCAGAAGGGUUUUGGAUUCAAGCUACAAAAUCUAAAUGCUAUAAUUGAAAAGAGAUUUGACUAUAGAUAACUUUUAAAACAUCUGAACAACAAAAAAUCCAAUAAAGGCAAAUGGCAAAAGCAAUCGAUAACAGCACAAAUGACAGACAAGUUCUGAUUUUUCUAUUAUGUACAGAGCCCUCCUAUACUCAAAAGAAAAAGACCAUUAGGAAAAUACUCAGAAGGCAGGCAGAGGAGAAACCCAGGUAGCCUUAGAAAUACCUGCAAAUUAGAAAAGGCAAAGAAGAUUCCAUAUUUCACCUGUCAGUUUUCUCAGCUGUGUUGAAGAACAGGUCUGCCAGGAGAAAAGGACAUGGGUACUAGGUCAUUUAGGGUGUUACUUGAAACAAGCUCCUUAGAAGGCAAUUUUACAAUGUCUGAAUAUCUUAGGUGCACAUCUCUUUUGAUCUAGCUAUUGUAUUCCAGGAAUUUAUCUUACAAAUACUCUGUAGAGCAUAUACAAACAUGUAUUUGCCAGGAUAUUGACUGCAGCAUUGUUGAUUAUAACAAAAAACUGGAAAUUGGCCACUAGUCAACUUUAUGGUCUCUGAUGGAAUACUACGCAGCAAGUAAAAAGCAUGGGAUCCAUGUAUAAGCUGGUGCACUGAAAUAUCCAAUUACUUAAGGAGGAAGAAAAAGGCAACAGAAAAGGAUAAAGUGCUCUACAAAUUUGCAUUUUAAAAUAUGUAUGAAUAUGUAUGCAUUUGUAGGAAGAUUUCUGGAAGAAUAUUGAGAUGGUAGUUAUGUCUGAAAAAUAGAACAGGGAUUGCAUAGGAGACAGAUUCAUUUUCAGAAAUCCCUUUUUGUCAGAUGCAGGUGCCAUUUUCAGAAUUAAAUAAGCAACAUCUUUUGAUCCAUUUCAGGAAUAUUGGACCAUUCCCUCAUUUUAGACUUCAGCCACCCUUAUGUAAUUUGGGGGUUUGUCUUUGGAAAAUCUAUACAGAGGCUCAAGUAAACCGCUGCUCUGCUGAGGUGAGUGGUCACCAUCUGGUCAAGAAUAGGAGUCAGGCGCCUCCCUUUUCAAAACCCUUAGCUUUCCCACCCACACAUCUGGCAUCCAGAACAUGUGGGGCCCUUUCCCUUAGAGCACAGAAUCCUUCGUGACCCAAGCUCUCGGAGAAGAUUGAUGCUGCUCUGCUGGAGAACCAGAGUGGAAGGUGCUGCCCAUCAUGUUUCUUAUGAUACAUUUCCGGUAGAAUUCGGUCCAGGAAUUUCUCUUUUCAUUUUUUGUUGAAGUUGGACAGUGAUGUUCCAGAAUUGACUGUCUUUACCACCUGGCUUCCCUUGACUGAAAUCUUAGCAUCAAAAUCAGUGUUCAUAGGUGGGUGUUCAAUAACUCUUCCAAUGAUCUGCUUGUGACCAAGGUAUUUAUUGAAAAUCUUCUGGGGGAGGAACCAUGGUAUCAAUGUAAAUUGUAAAGAAAUGAACAGGCUUAAUGCCACGCUGAUAAGAGCAUCUUCUGUCAUGUAAGUGAGAUGAAACCUUUAAGGUAUGUUUUUCUUCUAGGAAAGAUGGUAUCUUCUAUGUAAUAUUCUUGCCAAAGAUAAUUUAAUUUGAAUCUAAUCAUGAGAGAGCAAUCGGACAAAUCCAGAAUGUGACUUAUUCUAGUCAAUUAUUUUUAAAAACCUCAAUGGCAAGAAAAACAACCAACAAAAAGUGGUUGCUCCAAAUUAAAAGUCUCUUGAGCUAUAACCAAAUGUAUCAAGUAAUAUUAUUACCCAAAUAUUGGAUUCUGCAUUAAAAAAAAAACAGUAAUUGGGACAAUUGAGAAAAUUAAAUAUGAACUACAUAUUAAAUAAAAUUGGUAUUAAUUUUUUCCAAGUAUGUUAAUGUUUAUGGCCUUAUUAUUAGGAAAUGCAUGUUAAAAUAUUUAGAAAUAAAGCAUUUUGGUGUUUGCAACUUAUUUUCAAAGGGCUCAGGAAAAACAGCCAGAAAGCUAAAGCAAAUGUAAGAGAAUAUUGACAAUUCAUAAAUCCAGGCGAAGGAUAUAUGGGUGUAAAGUGUAUUCUUUCAGCGCUCCUAAGAAAGUUUGAAAUUU